rnacentral:rRNA from 1 species
AUUGAACGCUGGCGGCAGGCCUAACACAUGCAAGUCGAACGAGUGGCGGACGGGUGAGUAAUGUCUGGGAAACUGCCUGAUGGAGGGGGAUAACUACUGGAAACGGUAGCUAAUACCGCAUACCAUCAGAUGUGCCCAGAUGGGAUUAGCUAGUUGGUGGGGUAACGGCUCACCAAGGCGACGAUCCCUAGCUGGUCUGAGAGGAUGACCGGCCACACUGGAACUUGUACACGUCCCAGACUCCUACGGGAGGCAGCAGUGGGGAAUAUUUCACAAUGGGGGCAAGCCUGAUGGAGCCACGCGGCGUGUAGGAAGAAGGCCUUCGGGUUGUAAAAUACUUUCAGUGGGGAGGCGUUACCCGAAGAAGAAGCACCGGCUAACUCCGUGCCAGCAGCCGCGGUAAUUC